UCAUAUGCUUGUCUCAAAGCUUAAGCCAUGCAAGUGUAAGUUCACGCCACGCAUUAGAACGGGCGAAACCGCGAAUGGCUCAGGAACCGGACCUAAUCCUCGGGACCGUAAUCCUCCUCGGAGGCGAUGGAUAACUGUGGCAAUUCUAGAGCUAAUACAUGUGACACAGGCCGCGAUCGGCCGUCGCGUCGUGGUCGCCUCGCCUUCUUGCGCGCUGGCACCCGCGGCGGCCGUCUUGGGUCGCGGCGCUACAUAUUAGACUGAGACCGAUGCGCGAUUUCCGCCCUCUCGUGUCGUCGUUUCCGUGCGUGCGUGCUCCGGCGUGUGCGUGCGGUCGAUGGCGCGGGGCCAAAGGACGGCGCGCUCCGCUUUGGUGACUCUGGAUAACUCACUGGUCGAUCGCACGGGCUUCCACGCCCGGCGACGGGUCCCUCGAGGGUCCGCCCUAUCAACUGUCGACGGUCGGUUAAGUGCCUACCGUGGUUACUACGGGUAACGGGGAAUCGGGGUUCGAUUCCGGAGAGGGAGCAUGCGAAACGGCUACCACAUCCAAGGAAGGCAGCAGGCGCGCAAAUUACCCACUCCCGGCACGGGGAGGUAGUGACGAAAAAUAACGACGCGGGACUCUGUCGAGGCCCCGCGAUCGGAAUGAGUACACUUCAAAUCCGUUAACGAGGACCAACCGGAGGGCAAGUCUGGUGCCAGCAGCCGCGGUAAUUCCAGCUCCGGUAGCGUAUAUUAAAGUUGUUGCGGUUAAAAAGCUCGUAGUCCGAACUCGGGUUCGUGGUCGCUCACGCGGCCCCGGGGCGGCGGCGCCAUCGUCCAUCGUUGACUUUGGUCGUCCGUUCGCAUUCCCGGCCCUUUCCGCCGGUGUCGAUCGCUGUAUAGACGGCCGCGGGUGGAGCCGGUGCGAGGCGUGAYUCCGUCUUUUCGCGGCGUGGGGGGCUCUCGUCCUUCCGGGUAGUCUUCCGCUUUAUUGCGGUUGUUCUCCCGGUCGGUUCGGCGUCUUUCCGCGUCGUCGUCUUUUCGGUUCCGGGCUCUCGGGCCCCCUCGUGCCACGCGACCCCGCGUUGCCGUCGGCGAUUUCUCCUCCAAGGGUGCUCUUAACCGAGUGUCCGCGGCGGCCGGUACGUUCACUUUGAAAAAAUUAGAGUGCUCAGAGCGGGCUGUUCAAGCUUGCAUACGAUAAGCAUGGAAUGAUGGAAGAGGGCCUCGUCUACGUCUGUCGGUCUCCGUCUACGGCGAGGCAAUGAUCGAAGGGAGCGGUCGGGGCCACUCGUAUUGCGACGUUAGAGGUGAAAUUCUUGGAUCGUCGCAAGACGAACUGCAGCGAUGGCGUGUGGCAAGCACGUUUUCCUCGAUCAAGAGCGAAAGUCGGAGGUUCGAAGACGAUCAGAUACCGUCGUAGUUCCGACCGUAAACGAUGCCGACCGGCGAUCCGCCGGCGUUCGCUUCCAUGACCCGGCGGGUAGCCUGCGGGAAACCAGAGUUCGGUUCCGGGGGGAGUAUGGUUGCAAAGCUGAAACUUAAAGGAAUUGACGGAAGGGCACCACCAGGAGUGGAGCCUGCGGCUUAAUUUGACUCAACACGGGAAAACUCACCCGGUCCGGACACCGGUAGGAUUGACAGAUCGAUAGCUCUUUCUCGAUUCGGUGGGUGGUGGUGCAUGGCCGUUCUUAGUUGGUGGAGCGAUCCGUCUGGUUGAUUCCGAUAACGAACGAGACUCCGGCCUGCUAACUAGUGCGCCGAUGUGAGUGCGGCGCCCUCGCGCGUCGUGUGCGGGCACGCGGCGGCGGGUGUCGAUUUUUGUGAUCGUCCCCCCGUCGUGUCCGGGUCGGUUUCUCACGCACUUCUUAGAGGGACGGGUGGCAGAAAGCCACACGAGGCGGAGCGAUAACAGGUCUGUGAUGCCCUUAGAUGUCCGGGGCCGCACGCGCGCUACACUGGAGGUAUCAGCGGGGACUUCGCCCCGGCCCGAGAGGGUCGGGAAACCUCUCAACCACCUCCCGUGAUAGGGAUCGGGGCCUGUAACCAACCCCGUGAACGAGGAAUUCCCGGUAGGCGCGGGUCAACAGCCCGCGUCGAUCACGUCCCUGCCCUUUGUACACACCGCCCGUCGCUACUACCGAUCGAACGGUCCGGUGAGGUCCUCGGAUCUGGCCGACGACGCCGCCGGGUUCGGGACGACGGGGGUCCUCGCGGCCCUCCCGCCCCUUCGACCUCGGCGUUCGACGCCUGGAGAAGACGACCGAACCCGAUCGUUUAGAGGAA
rnacentral:rRNA from 1 species